GAUGAAGAACGCAGCGAAAUGCGAUAAGUAGUGUGAAUUGCAGAAUUCAGUGAAUCAUCGAAUCUUUGAACGCACAUUGCGCCCUUUGGUACUCCAAAGGGCAUGCCUGUUCGAGCGUCAUUUGUACCCUCAAGCUUUGCUUGGUGUUGGGCGUCUUGUCUCUAGCUUUGCUGGAGACUCGCCUUAAAGUAAUUGGCAGCCGGCCUACUGGUUUCGGAGCGCAGCACAAGUCGCACUCUCUAUCAGCAAAGGUCUAGCAUCCAUUAAGCCUUUUUUUCAACUUUUGACCUCGGAUCAGGUAGGGAUACCCGCUGAACUUAAGCAUAUCAAUAAGCGGAGGA
rnacentral:misc_RNA from 1 species